GCACCCUCUCUCUCUGUGCGUGUGGUCAGCAGCGGUGGUAGGGACGGGUUCGACGGCGUAAACCCGACGAAACCAGCGGUGCUGUGCCUCCUCCACGCUCGCGAGCUCGACGGCGGCGAUGUAGGGAGGGCGACCAAGCCCGCGACAGCCAUCACUCGCGGACCAACCCUCUCCUCAGUUCCGCUCUCCCUGGCGACGGCGCCGAUGGUGCGGCGGUGGCGGGCUGAACUGGAGCACGAUCGGCGGCUCGUGGUGAGUUGCAGUGAGGACGAUGGCGGCGUGGGUGAAGCCCCCUCUCUUUUCCUAAGCUCUCUCAGAAGUUCUCCUCCCCUGUUUUGUGUGUGUGCUUUUCGUUUUUGGGGGGAGAAAGGGG
rnacentral:lncRNA from 1 species